ACGUAGGAGACGAGCGUUAUCCGGAGUUACUGGGCGUAAAGGGCGUGUAGGCGGUAUGCUAAGUCUGGCGUGAAAGCUCUCGGCUAAACCGGGAGAGGUCGUUGGAUACUGGCAAACUAGAGGAUGGUAGAGGCGUGUGGAAUUCCGGGUGUAGUGGUGAAAUGCGUAGAGAUCCGGAGGAACACCAGUGGCGAAGGCGACACGCUGGGCCAUACCUGACGCUAAAGCGCGACAGCAUGGGGAGCAAACGGG
rnacentral:rRNA from 1 species